AGCUUGUACAGGUGGCUGCAUGGCUGUCGUCAGCUCGUGUCGUGAGAUGUUCGGUUAAGUCCGCUAACGAGCGCAACCCUCGCUGUGUGUUACAAGUGUCACACGGAACUGCCGGUCAUAAACCGGAGGAAGGUGGGAUGACGUCAAGUCAGCAUGGCCUUUAUAUCCUGGGCUACACACACGCUACAAUGGGAAGGGACAAUAGGUUGCGAAGCCGCGAGGCGGAGCCAAUCCAGCAAAACUUCCCUCAGUUCAGAUUGCAGGCUGCAACUCGCCUGCAUGAAGUUGGAGUUGCUAGUAAACGCAGGUCAGCCAUACUGCGUUGAAUACGUUCCCGGGGCUU
rnacentral:rRNA from 1 species